UAGUUGGCAGGGCAGCGGCCUACCAAGGCGACGAUCCAUAGCCGGCCUGAGAGGGUGAACGGCCACAUUGGGACUGAGACACGGCCCAGACUCCUACGGGAGGCAGCAGUGGGGAAUAUUGCACAAUGGGGGAAACCCUGAUGCAGCGACGCCGCGUGAAGGAAGAAGUAUCUCGGUAUGUAAACUUCUAUCAGCAGGGAAGAUAAUGACGGUACCUGACUAAGAAGCCCCGGCUAACUACGUGCCAGCAGCCGCGGUAAUACGUAGGGGGCAAGCGUUAUCCGGAUUUACUGGGUGUAAAGGGAGCGUAGACGGCUCAGCAAGUCUGAUGUGAAAGGCAGGGGCUUAACCCCUGGACUGCUUUGGAAACUGCUGUGCUUGAGUGCCGGAGGGGUAAGCGGAAUUUCUAGUGUAGCGGUGAAAUGCGUAGAUAUUACGAGGAA
rnacentral:rRNA from 1 species